rnacentral:rRNA from 1 species
UACGGAGGAGGCAAGCGUUAUCCGGAAUUAUUGGGCGUAAAGGGCGCGUAGGCGGUGCGGUAAGUCACUUGUGAAAUCUCUGAGCUUAACUCAGAACGGCCAAGUGAUACUGCAGUACUAGAGUGCGGAAGGGGCAAUCGGAAUUCUUGGUGUAGCGGUGAAAUGCGUAGAUAUCAAGAGGAACACCUGAGGUGAAGACGGGUUGCUGGGCCGACACUGACGCUGAUGCGCGAAAGCCAGGGGAGCAAACGGG